CUCUAAUAGCGUAUAUUAAAGUUGUUGCAGUUAAAAAGCUCGUAGUUGAAUGUUGGGGUCGUAUGAGCGAUCGGCUUCGGUCGAAUUGCUCCUCCGGCUCCUUCCUUCUGUGGACUGCGUCACUCUUCACUGAGGGGCGCCAGGACGCAGAUCGUUUACUGUGAAAAAUUAGAAGUGUUCAAGCAGGCCGUACGCUUGAA
rnacentral:rRNA from 1 species